GAGGCUAGGAGGUUAGGAUGUUGGGAGGCUGGGAGGCUGGGAAGCUGGGAGGCUGGAGGUUGGCAGGUUAAAAGGGUAGGAGGCUGGGAGGCUGAGACGCUGGGAGGCCUGGAGGCUGGGAGGCUGGGAGUCUGGGAAGCUGAAAGGCUGGGAGGUUGGGAGACUGGGAAGCUGGGAGGUUUGGAGGCUGCAAGGCUGAGAGGCUGCGAGGUUGGGAGGCUGGGAGGCUGGGAAGCUAGGAGGCGUACCCACAGCAGGGGCCCAAGAUGGACUCUGGGUCAACCCAGAAGUAGGUGGUGCGGAACCGGGGAGGGCAGCUCUACUGUCUUCACCACAAACCUUUCACCUCCAUUUCACUGUGGUUCCUCCAGCUGCCGAAGUCUGGGAGUACAUGUCCAUUCCCUGCAAAGGCACGUCUGGAGAGUGGCAGCCGUCACAUCCCGUCAGCUGGCACUGAGUGACUCACAUGCAGAUUGGGCUCGGUCAGCUGGCCUGAAGCUUACCCCAGUCACCAUUAGGGGAGGAAGAACGGCGAAGGGAUACAGGGGACACAAGUGGCAGGACCUGCGGAGAAGCAAGACAGAGGAGCCAGGCUGGACAGGGGAGCCGGCCCUCCUUUUUCUCAUGUGCCAACCUCUUCCCCGGGGGCUCCCUUCCCCUCUUGGCCAGCACUCCUGUUGGGCUCAUCCAGGAUGGCAUGAUGAUCCGAGAAUAUGAAAACGAAGCAUGGCUUGAAAAACCACCUAGAGAGUUCCAGCUGCCGUCCUGAAGGAAAGGCUGGCUCAGGAUGCCGCAGGAAGCCUGACAUCUGGUCUCCCACGUUGUACUGUCAUUUUCUGGGACGCUUAACAGGCAAGACUUUUCCUUGUUCAGGUGGCGGAGCAUCCCAUUCAAAGUGGCCCAGGCCACGAAAGGAGAGCUUACUGGCCUCGCACCGGAAGGUCUAGAGCCAUUCCCUCAAAGCGAAGUCAGCCCUCUCCAUGAGGUGGGAACGGGCACUGACGUCCUGAGGGCAAGUGUGUCCGCCCUUCUCAAAGGUCCUGGGUAGGUGCCUCAUCCUUAAUUGCCACCAUUUCCUCAUUACCUCUGCCCCAAAUGACUUAGCGCCCCGAUGCAGUGAGUUUAAAUCCUCUAAAGUGAGUAGUACUUUUAUCCCCACCUGAGAACUCACAUUCCCG
rnacentral:lncRNA from 1 species